rnacentral:rRNA from 1 species
AUUGAACGCUGGCGGCAGGCCUAACACAUGCAAGUCGAGCGGAUGAAGGGAGCUUGCUCCUGGAUUCAGCGGCGGACGGGUGAGUAAUGCCUAGGAAUCUGCCUGGUAGUGGGGGAUAACGUCCGGAAACGGGCGCUAAUACCGCAUACGUCCUGAGGGAGAAAGUGGGGGAUCUUCGGACCUCACGCUAUCAGAUGAGCCUAGGUCGGAUUAGCUAGUUGGUGGGGUAAAGGCCUACCAAGGCGACGAUCCGUAACUGGUCUGAGAGGUUGAUCAGUCACACUGGAACUGAGACACGGUCCAGAAUCCUACGGGAGGCAGCAGUGGGGAAUAUUGGACAAUGGGCGAAAGCCUGAUCCAGCCAUGCCGCGUGUGUGAAGAAGGUCUUCGGAUUGUAAAGCACUUUAAGUUGGGAGGAAGGGCAGUAAGUUAAUACCUUGCUGUUUUGUCGUUACCAACAGAAUAAGCACCGGCUAACUUCGUG